rnacentral:rRNA from 1 species
UACGUAGGGGGCAAGCGUUGUCCGGAUUUAUUGGGCGUAAAGCGCGUGUAGGCGGCCAGGUAGGUCCGUUGUGAAAACUCGAGGCUCAACCUCGAGACGUCGACGGAAACCAUCUGGCUAGAGUCCGGAAGAGGAGAGUGGAAUUCCUGGUGUAGCGGUGAAAUGCGCAGAUAUCAGGAAGAACACCGGUGGCGAAGGCGGGUCUC